rnacentral:rRNA from 1 species
UACGGAGGGGGCUAGCGUUGUUCGGAAUUACUGGGCGUAAAGCGCACGUAGGCGGCUUUGUAAGUUAGAGGUGAAAGCCCGGGGCUCAACUCCGGAAUUGCCUUUAAGACUGCAUCGCUAGAAUUGUGGAGAGGUAAGUGGAAUUCCGAGUGUAGAGGUGAAAUUCGUAGAGAUCAGGAAGAACAUCGGUGGCGAAGGCGCUCUGCUGGACCAUAACUGACACUCAGGGACGAAAGCUAGGGGAGCGAAUGGG